UGGGGAAGUAUUGGACAAUGGGCGAAAGCCUGAUCCAGCAAUGCCGCGUGUGUGAAGAAGGUCUUCGGAUUGUAAAGCACUUUCGACGGGGACGGAUGAUGACGGUACCCGUAGAAGAAGCCCCGGCUAACUUCGUGCCAG
rnacentral:rRNA from 1 species